AUUGAACGCUGGCGGCAGGCCUAACACAUGCAAGUCGAGCGGGGUUUUCGGACCUAGCGGCGGACGGGUGAGUAAUGCGUAGGAAGCUGCCCGAUAGAGGGGGAUACCAGUUGGAAACGACUGUUAAUACCGCAUAAUGUCUACGGACCAAAGUGUGGGACCUUCGGGCCACAUGCUAUCGGAUGCGCCUACGUGGGAUUAGCUAGUUGGUGAGGUAAUGGCUCACCAAGGCGACGAUCUCUAGCUGGUUUGAGAGGAUGAUCAGUCACACUGGAACUGAGACACGGGCCAGACUCCUACGGGAGGCAGCAGUGGGGAAUAUUGGACAAUGGGCGCAAGCCUGAUCCAGCCAUGCCGCGUGUGUGAAGAAGGCCUUCGGGUUGUAAAGCACUUUCAGCGGGGAGGAAGGGGUUGUAGUUAAUAGCUGCAACCUUUGACGUUACUCGCAGAAGAAGCACCGGCUAACUCUGUGCCAGCCGCCGCAGUAAUAC
rnacentral:rRNA from 1 species